GAGAGGUUACCGCCACAAGAAGAAGAAGAAGAAGGUAGUCUAUCGCGGAGGUCUCGUGCUCGAGAAGGAUCCUAAAGGCAAGGGAAAGGCUUGUUAUGGAGGAUGAUAGUUCUAGUUCUGAACCUGAAGAACGGCCUACACUCUCUCUUCCGACCUGAAAAAUCCCGACUGGACUAAAGAGUAUGACCUGCCUAAGUGUCCCACCCCUUGUAGGAUGUUUAACUGGUCAGAUGAGGACUACGAACUCUAUGACGAAUUUCUUUCUGAUUGCCAAGUUUAACGCCCUGGGAUUCAGCAAAAGAGAGAAGACAUACGCUAUGUGCGCAUGAGGGAUCCCUCGAGCAAUCUGCCUGAAGCGGGGCAACGAGUUCUUCUGAUCAAUGAGUUGCUCGAGCCAUCUGAAAUAAUUUGGAGUCAUAUGUUUUCAAAUGACAAACGAUAAACCCUUCUCUGGUUCUCUCAAGUAUUUUUUAGCUUCAAAUAAUUCUGUGUUAUCUACCUGAUAACAACUGUAAUUGCCGCACUUCCGUUUUCCCUUUAA